rnacentral:lncRNA from 1 species
GCCAACAGUUUCUACCCACUCUCUCUUCUGGAAUUUAGAUCUGCUUCUCCUGCUUGCAGAAACUUCCACUUGGUAUCUGCCAUGAAAAGGUCUUCCAGAGAAUGCAAAAUUCGACCUCCAUUCCUCUAUGUCAUUCUUCCUCUGAACUAUUUUCUCCAUGAUUCAUGCCAGCCGCUGAGCUGAACCCUCAAACUCACCCUCGCUACCGCCACGAUCCUCUGCCUCCUUCCCUGAACUACUUCUGGCCACUCACCAUGGCCUGCUGACCCAGCCACUGAGCUCAUCUCCUAAAACCAUCCCUUUGUGGGUGUUUUUACUAUCACGCAGACCCGGGUUCUUUUAUACAGUCAAGCUGGGACAAUUUCAAUCAUUUUCCAAUGAAUAGCCUGUGAUAUUAUGAUUCAUAAUAAUAAGCAAUGUUGUAUAUCUUUUCAUCUGCAUCCAUGGGCAGAGUUCCACGUGGACACGUAUGGCACAUAGCUCCCAACACUUUGUCAUCUCCUAAGUGAUAAGAGCCAUGGGAACCUCCUUUGUUAACAAUAUUUGAUCUUUCGUCCAGGGCUCCAGAUGUAACUCCUAAACAGCGAGGCGAUAGGAGUGUCUUGUUAGUUAUAAUAAGCCCUUUCAAUCUGAACUUUAAGCUCAUUAGGCCGUUUGGGGGAAGCCUCUAGAUAAUAACCACCAAGACCUGGUUGCUGGGGAAACGACCACGUGAUUGGUGAGUUGGAACUUUCAGCCCCACCUCCUGACUUCUGAGAAGGGGAGCUGGGCUGGAGGUUGCGUUAACCACCAAUGGCCAAGGCUUCGAUCAGUCAUGCCUACCUAGGGCAGCCUCCAUAAAAAACCCUACCUGAAAGGGUUCAGAAAGGCUCCAGGAGCACGAGGCGCAGGAGGAAAAUGUUCGUUAAGCCGAACCUUCAUUUUUAAAGCAGGUGGGCCGAGUGAAAGGCAGCCUAGGGUUUCACUCGGGGAAUGGAUGAGAAAAACAGUGGCUUCCCCUGACAGAAGAUGGAAGCAAAUGAAGGAAUCAGCCAGAGGUACCAUCAGAAAUAUCCCCUGGUCCUUAUUUAUUUCUUAAAAUUUUCUAUUUUUUAAAAGUAAUCUCUCUACCCAACAUGGGGCUCGAACUCACAACCCUGAGAUGAAGAGUUGCACGCUCUACCAACAGAGCCAGGCAGGCACCCCCAUCUGCUGGUCUUUAAAACACAGUCUGCCAUUUAU